UCUGCAAGGGACAAGAAGAAAUAGUUUAAAACCUGACAUUUAUGCUCAGAACAAUAGUAGAGGCAUAUGCAACAACAAUGGAGGGGAGGGAGAAAAUAAGAGCCUAUUAAGACAGCUUGGAUUUGUUUCAUCCAAGACAGGUACAGGGAGAAUUUUGCAGUUUCUGGACUCAUGAUUCAUUCACUUCCACUAAUUGUGCUGAAGGUAGUUAGCCAAAGUGAACAGGCACACUGUAGCUUUAAAAAGGCAGCCAUGAACCAGAAGGCAGUUGGUGCAGCUUGUGUGUGAUUCCUAACGUCAUGUUGGCUGAGAGCCAGCCUGGUUUUAUUUCACUGUGUCAAAUUGUACCUCCUUAUUGAAUUCCUUUGCCAGCCUACUUUAUGAAAGAAAACAUUGGGGUUUCUUUGGCUGUUCUUGAUAAGCCUAUAAAAAUUGAUAUGUUUUAGUUGCUUAUAGUUGCUGAAGUAAAGGAACCCUGCAGCCUUCCCAUGCUAUCUGUUGACAUGGAAAACAAGGAAAAUGGCUCUGUCGGUGUAAAAAAACACGACUCGGACAUGAAAUGUGCGUAGAAAGGGUAGCAUGUCUCUGGCCGUGAACCCAGGAGGACUGAGGAUUGCAGUUCUGCACUGUCUAUCCUGUAACAAAAACCCCAAACUGACACAUUUCUGCCUCCCACGUCCAUAGGCUACUAAGUUCCAUGGAAAAUGGGAGACCACCUGAUCCUGCAGACUGGGCCGUGAUGGAUGUGGUCAAUUAUUUCCGAACAGCAGGAUUUGAGGAACAAGCUCAUGCCUUUCAGGAGCAGAGAUACGAAGGAUCCAGUAGAAGGCCUGGAGCUCACGGUAGUGUCCCAUGCAAGUCCACAUCAGGAGGCCAAAGGGUCUGCAAUGGAAGGCUGAAAAGUGUACUGGAGGCUGAAGAGUCUGCACUGGAAGCCAGCAGAGGACAUUCAAGGUGAAGGCAAAGGCUGGAGCCCCUCCAAAGAAAUAGAAGCGAGAUUUCCUCCUUUGUUUCCCUUUUAUUCCUUUCAGAUGACAAGCCACCCUAGGGUGGGUCUUCUGUCUUCAGUAGAUUCCCACAGCCACACUCAGAACCAUGCUGAUCCAAUUUAGUUGGAUGUUUCUUACUCAAGUUGACACUAUCAGUUAACCAUCACAGGCUAACAGUUGGAAAGCAGCCAAAGAAGGAAUUCAGAAGAGGAGCUCAGAUGCUUACUUGGUGCAGUGGCCUUUGCAGCAUUAUUCACAAUAAUCAAAGGUGGAGACAACUUAAGGGUCCAUGAACAAAUAAAUAGCUCCUUUAUCACUCACUUGGUGCCAAUGGUGAAUAUUAAGUAGCACAGGGAAGCACUCCUGAACUCACUGAAGGCAUGGGCCUUCACAUAACCCAGAAUGCAUGGCGUUUCUGAAUCAAGUGCAAGACUCGUCUAGCUUGUGAUGAGGUAAAAACUUUUAAACCAUACAUAUAGUUUCUCUCUGUUAGUAAGCCAAUCAGCAUUUAUUUAUUUGUUUACUUGUGUAUCUUUUUUAAAAGCCUCCCUAAGAUGUCUAUUAUUCACCCCAAGUUUUCCACCAAUAGGAAAGCAAGGGAGGCAGACCUUCAGCUGAGUGUCACUGGCUUGGAACGCUGAGCUCAUAGUCACUCCUCCCAGGGGACCGUGCAGUGUGAAGGUGUGGGUGGGCAUGUGAAGGAUCUCUACGGGAAAAGGAAUUUCUCCCCUCCCCACCCCCCGAAGAAAUUGCAUCUCAAAAACCAUGUGGCAAGAAUCAACUGUGUGAACUUGAACAGUUCACCGUCUUCCUUUCCAAUGUCAUACGGAGAUCCUUCAGAAAAUAAACUGUGUAUCUUGGUGAGGAAAGGCUGUUUGAAGAACCAUGGUGAAUUACUACAGAAUACUGGGGGUAUCUCAAGAUGCUUCCUCCUCUGCCAUCAGAAAGGCUUAUCACCAGUUGGCUCUACAGGUACACCCUGACAAGAACCCCAAGAAUAAGGAGGCAGCUGAGGAGAAAUUCAAACAAGUAGCAGAGGCCUACAAGGUCUUGUGUAAUGCCAAGAAGUGCAAUGACUGUGACAGGGCCAGAAGGAACUGCACCCAAAGGGAAAACAGAGCAAAUGGCAGGGAUAAAAGUCAUCUGGAGGAGGAACUGUACUUUAAGAGGCCACACCAUGUCUUUAAGAAUGUCUCUGAGGAGGAUGAACCUUUCUCAGGAGAUUAUUUUUCUACUGGCCACAUGGAUAGGCCCAGGAGAUCCCAAUCCUCCUCCUUUGAUGUGAACCCCAUAUUGGACUCAGGAUUUUCCACUUUUGUAACCCUUGGCUGCAAAUCAAGUCCCUCUAUUUCAGAGACAUGUGUACCCUUUGUAAGCAGUGGAAUGGGAAGUUUCAGACUGGUCACCACUUGUAGCCAGAUAGUGAAUGGCAAGAGGGUUGUUACAAAGAAAGUUCUAGAAAAUGUGAUGGGGGGCAGACUGAAAUGGAGAAAGAAAAACUAUUUCAUCAGAUCCCUUCAUGUCUUUGGUAAGAAGUUGGUGGCACAUUCUUUACCAGGGACUUUCAUAUGAAACCGGUGUGUCUUGAUGUUUAUCAAAGGUAAUUGGAGUCUGAGAGUGUGUUGAACUGGAAUGGGCCGAAUUCCGCUUAGUUAAGAUCUCUCAUUUCACUGAGGAGGGGAAUUAUGGGCCAAAUAUUAACACAAGAAACUAGUACACAGGAGAGUUCCACAACUGAGUCUUCUGAUUCUAAGUUGAGCUCUCUGUCCCUUUCCCCUACACACUAUUUGGUACAGUAGAAAUCACCAACACAGACAUGGCCUUCAGAGUCAGUUGCAGGGCUCUCCCUCAAAAUCCCAUUGACUUCCUUCUAGCUCUUCCCUGGCCUAUGUUGUUGUUUCCCAGUUGCCUCUUUCAUGGCUGCUCUUUUUCUCUCUCAGCCCCUUUCUCUUUGAUUUUUGACUUCCCACUCCACCUGUCUUCAAAUGCAUUUUACACGGACCCUAUGAAAAUCAGGCUCAAUUCGUUGUCAUCAUGAAUUAGAUAUAUGUAACAGAGAAAGAGAAAUAAUGAGUUAAGUUUUAUUAUUUUUGUUUUUUGCAGUACUGGAGCUAGGGGGCCUCUACCACUGAGCUACAUCCUCAUCCUCAUCCUUUUUCUACAUUUUUUGAGACAGGGUCUCCUUAAGUUGCCCAGAUGGGACACAAACUUGGAACUCUUCUGUUUCAGUUUCCCUAAAUUCUGGGAUUACAGGCAUGUGUCGCUCUGCCCAGCAGGAAUAAGAUAUAUAUAUAGCUCGUGUGCCAGUCAGGCUUGAUAGUGAACUGCCCUGCAUUAAGAGAUUCCUAGAGAAGCAAUUGGAUUGUGAGGCCACUAACCUCAUCAAGGAGUUAACAAUGAGUUCAUAGCUGAAUGGACCAUUAGAAAGUGGGACCUAGUUGGAGGGAGUGGGUCCUGGGGCCAUGACCUGGGGGGCUAUACCUGGUCUGUGGUCCCUUGGCCCCUUCUUCUCUGGCUCUGUCAAUCUGCUCUGCUUUGCGACCACCAUGAGUCAGGCACUUUUCCUCCAUCGUUCCUUUCUGCCAUGAUGUUUCUGCUCUGGAGCCAGCUGACAGUGGACUGAAAGCACUGUGAGCCAAACCAAAAUAAACCCUCCUUUAAGUUGUGUGUGUCCAGUACUUGGUCCCAGCAACAAAAAUCUGACUAAUACAGCUAGCAUUUACUGAGUGCUCGGUAGAUGUCUGGAAUUCUCCUUCACAUGUGUUAUCUCAAAAACCCUUUAGGCAAUGAAAUUCAGUUGCUGCUUUUUCCCAUCAUCUAGAUAAGGAAAUGAGGCUUAAAGAGAUUAAGGAACUUGCUCCAGGCCCCACCUAAUAAGCAGUAAAAUGGUGUGCUACCCUACUGCACAUUCUUAUCUACUGAACUAUGACAUUUAAGGAUCCUACUCAUUUAUUUUUAAAUCUAGGGUCUCGCCCUCAUUGAAAAUAUAGAUCUAUCUUCUCUAAACCUUUCUUCAAUGCCUGAGUACUUGCUGGAACUUAUUAAGUAGGCAAACAUUUUGGAUUUUACGGCCUGACAGGAACUUGAAGGUGACUUUCACAUGAAGACAGAAUCACUGUGCCGAGUUUCACUAAAGCUAACAAAUGAUUGUUCAUUUCCCAAGUUGUGAAAUUAUAUUUUUGUUUUGACUUUAAUCAUGAUUUACAUAGAAUGCAAAAUCUUGGGAUGUUUGUAUAGCUGAAACUGGUCACACACCAACCCCUUUAAGCUAUAUUAAUGAGCAGAGUGGGAUCUGUUCCUUGUGGAAAGUUACUGAUAGAGUCUGCAGUAGAAUCACUGUCUUCCAGUUUCCAGUCCAGGCUCAUUCCAGCACACCAUGGCAUGGCAAAAUUUGGAUUUCAUUCACAAUUGUAAUCUUUUAUUACAGUUUAUUAUGUGACAAAUUAGCAGUUUUGUUGGGAGGGGGAUUGAAGAAUUGAACCCAGGGACACUCCACCAGCCUCCACUCCUUUUUCUCAAUUUUUAUUUUGAGAGAGGGUCUCACUAAAUUGCCCAGGCUGGCCCCAAACUUGAAAUCCACCUGCUUCAGCCUCUCAAAUAGCUGGUAUUACAAACAUGUGUCGCCUCACCCCACUUAGCUUUUUUAAUCAGGAACUUUUCUAUAUGUGUGAUUUUCAGGACAAAGGUUUUAUGUACUACUGAACACUUUAUUCCUCGUAAAAUUUUGGCACUUGAACAGGAACAUGCCUACAUCCUUCUGCAAAGGGCCAACAGAAAGCAAGAAGAUGGAUUUGGAUUCAGAAAACAUCUCAUUUCUUUCAAAGCCCUUAACUUUCCACUUAGUAGUCACUGAGAGCCUCCUUUAUGUCAAGCACUAUGCUAGGUGCUUUAUAUCACUAUGCUAGGUGCUUUAUAUCAAGUCAUUCCCAGGCUUAUUUCCAUUUUACAAGUGAAGAGCUGAAGUUCAGGGAAGUUAAGUCCUUUACGCAAGGUCACACAGUAAGUUGUAGAGACGGGGCUCAGACUGCAGUUUGCCUGGCCUGAGCUCACAUUUCUGUUCUGCUCUCUUCCACCCUCAUACCUCUGAGCUGCCAUGUUACUUCAACAACAUGGCAUAUAUUCUUUUUAUAAUGAUGACAUCCAGAUGAAGCUUUCUUCUACCAGCUUUGGUGUGAGGUGGACUGCAGUGUCUGCACUGAACAAAGGGAAAAUCAAAUUGGAGUAGAAAAUAUGAUUUGUCAUUUUGUCUUAUGUAAAACCCAAAUUUCAGCACUUUCUACAAACAAAGUUGGCUUGUAUCAGAAAUCCUGAGUUGUGCAAGGACUUUUUGCCAGCAGACUUUUGCUUUAAAUUCACUUUGAGUUAGUAAAGGAAGUUUUCUUGUCGUGCAGAAAUGGAAGCAGUGUCCUCUCUUCCUGAAGCCUGUUUCAAAUAUGAAGAGGGCUAAGCAUGGGCCAACAACAGCAAAAAAAAGAUGGAGAAAGGAAGGCCUUUGCUGCUCAGUAAACAUUCCCAGUCAGUAUUCUUCCGGGUGCAGUUGCCUGUGACUCAGAUUCCUGGGGCCUCACAAUUUCUUCAGUUCUGCUGUUGUGGCCUCUGGGUGCCAGAAGCUCCGGGGUUCAUUUUGGAAGUUGUGAGGCAAAUCUCAAACAUACAGGUUUCACUAAUGGGUAGCCUUUAGGAUUACUAAUUGUGCGUGUGUGUGUGUGUGUGUGUGUGUGUGUGAGAGAGAGAGAGAGAGAGAGAGAGAGAGCAUUUAAAUAUUAGAGAGUUUGUUCCUGUGUCCUUAAAAUAAUUUUCCACUCUUGCUCUAUUGUGUUUUUAAUCUGCUCUAGUUUUGAACAGUUCUCUCUCACACAUUAAUGUGAGAUAUUUUGUCUUCUAGUCACUGACAAAAUAAAUGCUUCCAAAAGUCAUAGGCCAGUUUGAAGCAAUCCUUUGUUGUGGUGUGGUUCGUGCUAGUAGGUGGUUGACAAGAGAAGUGGGGGCCACAGUCCUGCCUAGCACGGUGGAAGGAACAGUGACACACAAUUUUAUCACUCAUAGCUCAGGGAACUUGUACAAGAGCAAUUUCUCACAGAAUCCUUUCAGAAACCCGAUGUUCCCACAUUACCAAGGAAGGAGACAGAAGAGGAAGGGAGUUGCCUGAAGAAGAAAGCGGUUUCUCUUAAGCCCUAACCUGAUCCUAUUUCUUCCACACUCUCAGGCAUUCAAAGUGUUUUUUCUUACAGCCUGGAAAGGAACAUGAAAGAGCCAGGGAGGAAUGGCUUCCCUAGGAGGGAAUCACAAUUUUAUGUACUUCCAGUUGUACAUCACAUGCCCCGGUCUGUUGCUCCAGGUUGGUGCAGGAGUGUGUGGGUAAAAUCAUGAACAACAGCUGGUCCAUCUCCUAACCUCAAGUUUCCUGAGAGCCAGCUCAGGUUCUUAAGACACGUAAAGUUUCUACCAUAAACAAUAACAAAAAUAAGGUAGCAGUCAGCAUUCUCAGUACUUCCUUUCCAAAAAUUUUAAAACGCUUUGUAUAUUUUCAGCCUUGUGCUUUUGUGAGAGGCCCAUUUUUAUUUUACCUCAAAGCUUUGUAAUCUCCACAGUACCUGGAGUGAAGCACACCUGAUCCUGUACCUGGUGGGGAAUGGACUGUGAGCAGAACAGGGAAGGGAUUUGCAGCUUCCAGGGACAUACCCUUUUCUGUACAGUGUGCGGUCUUGAGGAUCCCUUGAGAGUGAUGUGAUCAGGGUCCUCAAUGUGGAGACGUUGAUUUUCUGGUUGAAGUAGAAUGAUUCUAUUUUCAAAAGAGUGAAAGGAAUCUCCCAGAGGGUAAGUCAUUUUAUAGAUGCUUGUUGUGAUUGACAAGGUGCUUGGAAACCUAAGACUCUAAAUCCAUUGGACUGUCCAGGCAACACAUAUUUAUUUCUCAGUAUCCAGAGGGGCCAAAGGGGAUUUUUUAAAAAUUGGGUUUGAAAAAAGAAAAAAUCAAGUUUGACUGUAGGCAGAUGAGAGUUCAAAUACUUUGCCACCCUUCCCUGACUCUCUGAUUUUAAGUUAGGCUGGUUAACUUCUUGCUUGAUCCCUGUUGCCUUGCCUAUAAAUAAGUAAAAAUGAUUUCUCCCCAUCCUAAUUUAUAGUUUUUUUAGAAAUUAGGCACAAAGAAAAUCCUACAUAAACUUUGAUAUAUUUAAUAAAUGGAAACUGUUCUUGU